CGUUUAAGGCUGGCUCCCACGGGUGCCACAGCACACGAAACCGCGUUGGUUAUUACAGGUCGGUUUCGUGUGCUGCAUUGUUGACGCAUUCAUUUAUUGGUAUCGCAUGAACCCCAUCGUAAUAAAUCGGCUUCAGCGGAAGCUGGGCUACACUUUUC
rnacentral:sRNA from 1 species